CCCUUUUCGUAGUGAACCUGCGGAAGGA
rnacentral:rRNA from 1 species